GAGGAAAAGAAACCAACCGGGAUUGCCUUAGUAACGGCGAGUGAAGCGGCAAAAGCUCAAAUUUGAAAUCUGGUACCUUCGGUGCCCGAGUUGUAAUUUGGAGAGGGCAACUUUGGGGCCGUUCCUUGUCUAUGUUCCUUGGAACAGGACGUCAUAGAGGGUGAGAAUCCCGUGUGGCGAGGAGUGCGGUUCUUUGUAAAGUGCCUUCGAAGAGUCGAGUUGUUUGGGAAUGCAGCUCUAAGUGGGUGGUAAAUUCCAUCUAAAGCUAAAUAUUGGCGAGAGACCGAUAGCGAACAAGUACAGUGAUGGAAAGAUGAAAAGAACUUUGAAAAGAGAGUGAAAAAGUACGUGAAAUUGUUGAAAGGGAAGGGCAUUUGAUCAGACAUGGUGUUUUGUGCCCUCUGCUCCUUGUGGGUAGGGGAAUCUCGCAUUUCACUGGGCCAGCAUCAGUUUUGGUGGCAGGAUAAAUCCAUAGGAAUGUAGCUUGCCUCGGUAAGUAUUAUAGCCUGUGGGAAUACUGCCAGCUGGGACUGAGGACUGCGACGUAAGUCAAGGAUG
rnacentral:rRNA from 1 species